UAAUAAUAAAUAAAAUUAUUUUUGUACUCAUUUCUUUCUAACCAACAACUAACAUUCCUUUAACUCGUGUCUUUCUAACCAGCUAACAUUAUUUUCACUCAUUUUUUUUUCUCGUAUUAUUUAUUUUAUUCUUUUUUAUUUUAUUGUCAUCUUUAUGAUAAACAGAGUAUUUCAUAUAUUUUAUUUAAAACCUUUUAUAUUAUCACCAGAUUUAACCUUUCCAUUAGAGUUUUUUU
rnacentral:lncRNA from 1 species